rnacentral:hammerhead_ribozyme from 1 species
AUCCAGCUGAUGAGUCUCAAAUAGGACGAAACGCGUGUCCUGGAU